GGAAUCAGAGUGUUCCCAGGGGACGCAGCAAACAUACCAGGCAUGCCCAACAUGAAACGGGAUCUAACAGGGAAGAGGAGAGGGAAAGUGGAAGGGAAUCCAUUAUUCAUGAAGGCAACAGUAGUACAACACGGCCUCCACAGACCCAUGCAGCGUUGGAUAAGGUUACUGCAGAAACAAGGGUUGGUAAUGGUAUGCCAAAGCUCUGCUUCUUGGGUGCAGAAAGCAGAGAGGCAUUGAGUCCUGUCUUUCCCUUCCCAUAACACUCUCCUGAUGCAUAUGACAGCAGAAAUAAGCUUCUUUGGAAGCUCUACCUAUGGUCCCUGGAAGACUUAGGAAGUUAGAAGCCCAUAAAGCACAGGAAGAGGGAGUAGCAAGAGAGAUGGCAGACAAGUGAGACCAGGGUAGCAGAGAAGCGAAUGAAACAUGAAUGCAAACCAUGCAGCCACAAGGCUCUGGUUAGCCAGAGGAAGAGCCGAAGCUCAGAGAAUGGGGCUCAAGAGCUUUGGCACAGGCUCCUAGAUGGCUGUAUCAGAGCUUCCUGUCUCUCCAUGUGUGUUACCUGCUCCCCUUCUCAGCCUCUCACCAAGGCUGAUCCUGAUUUCCUCGAUAGGGAAACCUAUCAGGGCUUGGCACUUGUCUCAGAUUACAGCAUAUGCUUGCUCUGGCUCUGCCGUGUCUCACAAAACAAUGAUUUCUAUUACAUCUCCUAGACAGCCUCUCUUUUUUGUUCCCUGUGUUUGCUCCUUUCCCUCUUUCUUCCCCUUGAAACCAGAGACACUGGCUCCUAUCAGUCAGGCUGGCUGUAAGACACCUCUUACACCUGGAUGAUGAGCAGGUAGAGAUACAAUGCUGACUGUUACAAUACAGAGAAUACACCUCAGCAGCUGUCCGAGAGAAUUAAACAUAACUGGUUGCUUAGGCAGGAGACCAAGCUCUGACUGUCUAACACUUACCUUGGGAACAUCCUGAAAGUAUGCCAGAAUAUUCAUAACAAAGAGGAGGAAUCAACAGCUCAUAAGAACAUAAAUAUUAAACAGGGCUAGACUGAUUUGCAGGGAAAGGGUUGUAGCCUUUAUAGCUCGUUUCCCCUCAGUGCCAUUACCUGCAGCUCCUUUACCGGGGCUACUUAAACUGUGCAUGAGAUGCUAGCUCUAGUUUUUUUCCAGGCAUCAAAUGCUGGUUGUUGUGUGUAUCACUGUAGCUGCUAGAACACAAGUGCUCAAUUAGAAUCAAACCUGGAAUCUUGCAGGCAGCAGGAAGUGCAGAAUUUCCUACUCUGGGAGCUCAGGCAAGCAGAAAUGUGUGCAGGCAUCUGAAAUGAAGAUGAUCUCUCAACUAAGCAGCCCUACGCAGAAGAUGCCAGAGUUGCAUUGGAGACCAUUCUGGCCAAUUCCGCUGAAUCAGUUGUGUAAGAAAUGCCUGCUGCCAGCUUCUCUGCCCACCACUGUUGAGAUCUCCUCACUGAGGCUUGCUUAGCUUUUUCAUCAUCACCACCACCACUCCCUGCCUGCUCAGGCUUGGCCUUGGUAAUCCUCACUGUCGUCUUCCCGCUUCUGGCCAGCCCCAUGCUUUCUGCACACCUUCCUCGGAGAAGCAGCCUCUGCCUGCAAAUUCCUUGGGGAAGCCUUCUGGCCGUAUUGAUGGUGUGAUCCCAGGUGUGGAAGAACGCGCCCUGGGGAGAUGAUUUGCUGUGGCACAGUGGUGAAAGCUCAUCAACAACAAUGUCACUACCUGGGUCAGUCUCCUUUGGUUUUGAGGCUGCAGUGAAAACUGCUUGCAAAGGACAGAAUUUGCUGCUGGCUGGUAUGAACUGCUCUUCCAGUCCCAGCCUGACUGAAUUCAAGGUAACAGCCUUGUGCUGAGUGCGCUGUUGAAAGGAGCAGGAAUAUAAGGUGAACCUGGCUUCCCCUUCCCAGAAUGAAACUGCCUCUUCAGGAGAAGGGAGCAGGCAGCAUAAAGACAGACCUUGUCCUGACUCUCCCUGCAUUGUGACUUUCUCGUGGGUUUGCUUUCUGAGGUUCAAGUCUAAGGAGUUUCUGUCAAACGUACUGUUCGCAUUGUCAACAUGUGGUGUUUUACUCUAGAUUAAUGCUGUAUCUCGUGUGUGGGAACACAUGUAGGUGUGGAGACAGAAAUCUGGGGCCUUAUUCUUCAGUGGCCUUGUGCUUGGAGGAUCAUUUGCACCUUCAGCAAAAUGUGUGUGGGGUGGGUAUGGAAACACUGCUAAAUCUGAAGGGCCUGCCACCCACAUGGGGUAGGUGCAAGUGAUGAAACAAAACAACCCGUGCAUCAUCUCUGAGGUCCACAAAGUCGGGAAUUUUUGAUAUUUUCUUAUUCCUCCCAUAACCAGGGUAAGGCUGUUCUCUGUAGAAGCGAGCUUUGGUGUGAUUAACUGCCCUGGCAGUGGUGUUUCCUGAGCUAUUGGUUUGGGAUAGAUGCAUGAGAUCUAAAGGAGUGCAAGUGGAUGGCACGAAAGGUGGCUGCAACAGCUCAUGGACAAUAGAAGAGGGAUGCUGGGCUCUUCAGCCAGGAAUGAACCAUUAGCACAUGUCACAUAUUUCCCAGUGCCAGCUCACAUCAUAACACCUACUGAAACUGUUUUGAUUCUCAUGUUUGAUAAGUGGGUGAGAUGGGAGCCCUCACUAUGAGUCCAGACUCUGCUAACCCCUGUGCAUGCUUUCACUGCACCAGUGAUCUGGCUGACUGGAUGGGCAUAAUUGUUUAACUAAGAAGAAAAUUAGCUCUAUCACAGCUGAAACAGUGGCGAGCUCUGCUUUUCUUCUCCCAAAACAGCCUUGCAGUAAGGAAAAAUCCUAUGUUAAGUCACUGAUCUGCCUGUUUCGGCAGGUACUUGGGAGCCUCUUCUUGAACAAGUGUUUUCUGGGGAACUAAGCAUCGCCUGCAGUUACAGGCAGAUCUGUGGCCUUGAAAGAGCCCACAGCAGAAAAGGAGCAGGAAGGAGAGCUGUCAGGAGAAAGACCUUUCAUUCUGGCCCUACUGGGGACAGCAUCUCAGCUCAGACUGGUAUGAGAAGGAGAGAGCAUGGAGGUGCUCAGCUGUGCCAACUGCCACCUGGUUUUUGGAAGUGAUUAGGGCUCACACUCCCCUGCCUGGCCAUCCUGGCCUAAAGGAGCAGCCGUGGAAGCAGGGCAUGGUGUCAGUGGAGGCUGCAAGCCCUGGGAGAGAGUUUCUGGGGAACCAGAAAGCCCUUUUGAAGGCAGGUCAGGAUAUCAGCCAGUCGUGGCAGCCCACGGCUGGGGAGCAGGGUGGCUCUCACACCUGUCUGCUUUCUGUUCUGGCGGGUUUGUGAAGGCCCAGCCAGUUGAAACCGCUCAGCUUUCAUCUCCUGACUCGCUGAAGCAUUCUGUGUUGAGCUUUGAAAGCCUGGCCAAAAAUGAAGCACAACUAACUGCAGGGAGAGCAAGACCUGCUGUGAAUCCCAACCUGCUGCAGGGGAGACGGAGCUGGCGUGAAACAGAUGGGUAUUAUUCCCGUGCAGAGGGCAAAGGGGCUUCACCAUCGCUUCCUCCCAGCCAGAGCAUCUGGCAUGCGACUCAAGGGGACUUCAGUGAGAGCUGCGCUUCUAUCAAACCUAAUCAAGGCAAGUCAGCACGCGCUCCUGUCUAAAGUAAAGCAAUGAGGCCAGCAGUACGACAGGGAGCCUACACUUGGGAAUUCCUCCAGCAGCCGCUGCUUUGAGCAGGGCCAGGGGCAGUCCAGCACGAGGUGCAAAUCUGCAAAGAGCCCCCCCCUCCUGCGCAGGGCUGGGCUGGAGAGCACCUUGGCAAGGGCUGAGCGUUGCUGCAAGGAAGCCGUGUUAUUUGGAGGAUUUGUG